UACGUAGGGCGCAAGCGUUGUCCGGAAUUAUUGGGCGUAAAGAGCUCGUAGGCGGCUUGUCACGUCGGGUGUGAAAGCCCGGGGCUUAACCCCGGGUCUGCAUUCGAUACGGGCUAGCUAGAGUGUGGUAGGGGAGAUCGGAAUUCCUGGUGUAGCGGUGAAAUGCGCAGAUAUCAGGAGGAACACCGGUGGCGAAGGCGGCAUCCUGGACCGGUAUUGACGCUGAGGCGCGAAAGCUAGGGGAGCAAACGGG
rnacentral:rRNA from 1 species